GGCCCGUUCGUCUAGCGGUUAGGAUACCUGGUUCUCAGCCAGGGGAUCAGGGGUUCGAAUCCCCUACGGGCUACCA
rnacentral:tRNA from 2 species